rnacentral:tRNA from 1 species
GGAGAGGUCAGAUAAGGGUUAUUCUAGCAGUUUGCUAAACUGCGCUGCCGAAAGGCGGCUUGUGGGUUCGAAUCCCACCCUCUCCG